UACAGAGGGGGCAAGCGUUGUUCGGAAUUACUGGGCGUAAAGGGCGCGUAGGCGGCCUUCUAAGUCGAACGUGAAAUCCCCGGGCUCAACCCGGGAACUGCGUCCGAUACUGGAAGGCUUGAAUCCGGGAGAGGGAUGCGGAAUUCCAGGUGUAGCGGUGAAAUGCGUAGAUAUCGGAGGAACACCGGUGGCGAAGGCGCGAUCCUGGACC
rnacentral:rRNA from 1 species